CCGGCGAACUCCCGCCGCGGUGCUUUCCCCUCUUCCCCGGCUUUCGCAGCGCUGGGAAAGGGGAAGGGGUCUCUCCAUCCGCGCCCCCCCGCGCAGCGAUGUCCCGCGGGGGGCGCGGGCGGUGCCGAAGGUGCAGCCGGCACCGAGGGAACAAAGGCGGCGGCGGCGGGGAACAAAGAGCGGCAGGAACCGUUUUCUGCUCUGGGAGCGUCUGGGGUUACAGGUGAUGGGCAAAAAUGAAAUACUUCGUCACCGAUGUGCAGCACCCCCAAAUAAAAUUUAGAAGAUCGCUGGAGACCUCUCCAGUUUCUGCGCAGCGUCCACAGCCCUCCCCAAGAUGAGCUCUCCUCACCUCAGGCACAGACCCCAGAUCUGCCUAAAGAAAUUCUGCAAGAUUUGGAGCCCUGGUUUUCUGCAAGGAAUUUUUUCUUUUCCAAGUAAAAGUGAAUCCUGAACCUUUUCAGUGUCAUUUCAGCUGGAGCCUGAAAAUGCACUGACUUGCAGAACCAACAAUCAAAGCUGGCUACUACUUGACUGCCCUGCCUUGGCAAACACCUUCUCCAAUUCAUGCUUUGUUGCCAUCCUGGCAACAAACCAGCCCAUGAUGGCUCUUUGUGUACUUUUUUUACUUGUUUUAUUGAGGAUUAAUUAGUGUUUGUACAGUGGCACAGCUGUCUGGUGCUCCAUGGACACAGCUGAAGGCAAAGGCCUUCGGGCUAUGCUGUGGUUUCCUAAUUCCUGUGUUAUGGCUACUGUAAUGCAUAUCCUCAAAGUGAAACAAACAUUUCUGACUGAUUUAUGACUUUUGACUGCCAGCUUGCUUGUGCUAGAGGAAGGAGAGAAGAAGAUGCAGUAUCAAAAUCAAGCUGCAAUCUUCAAGAAUUAUUUCAAGUCUCCUGUUGAUCACUUGAGGCUCUUGCACACGCUAUGAAAUUCACCAGAAGUCAUCUCAUGGAGCCUUGAUCUUUUAUGCCUUGGAGAGCACCAUCCCACAUUAUCUCUCCAUGUUCUUCUCACUGACUUCACCCUGCCAUGAAUCACAGGGCUCCUCAUCCCAGCACACACCGCAGGCAUGCCAGGCUGUGUCAAACAGCACAGGUCCCAGCCCAAGGUGCUUGUUUUCACUCAAAUUACACAUUUCAUAGCUUGCUUGUAAAGCACUUUGAAGAUAUGACACUAAGUGUUGCUAGCACAAAAUGGUAUUGUUGGACAGGUUUAACGUGAGCAAUUAAACAGUAAUUCCAUAAAAAAGGUGCGAGCUAGAAGGUUAAAGGUAGAAUUAAGUCGUCUGUGCCUACUUUGUAUCCAAAUCUUCAGGCUGUUGAUUACUUGGACUGACACUGAAAAUAAGCUUUCAUCUCUUUUUCCACACAGCCUUCCAGCUAGGAACUGCUAAGGCCCUGUGCUCAGGCUCUGACUGCUUCGACAGGUACAUGUGUGCUGCCAGCAAGGAUAGCAAGUGGCUGACAUGGAUCAGGCUUUGUGGAAGGUGAAGGUCUGGAAGCUGUGAGAGCAGGGCUCUUGCCUGCUGUCUGUGGCUGUCCAAAAUGAGCUGGAUGGAUGCACAGAGCACUGGGGAAAGGCCCUACAGAGCAGCACUGUCAGGCAGUGAUGAAUAUAACUGCAGUGGGGAUGAGGAGCCCUCACAAUUCCCAUGAAAUUCCCUCCUGAAAGAGAGUCUGAUCAGCUCAGCAGUGAUGCUUGCCUCACCACCUUCCCACACCACCCAGAAUGGCCAGGGCACAGAGCUGUUUCAUGUACAAGGCAUCCAGGCAGUGAUUGUCCCCUGUGCUGGGCACUGGUGAGGCCACACCUCAGAUCCUGGGUUCAGUUUUGGGCCCCUCACUACAUGAAAGGCAUUGAGGGGCUGGAGCACAAGUCUGAUGAUGAGCAGCAGAGGGAUCUGGGGGUGUUUAGCCUGGAGAAAAGGAAACUCAGGAGACCUUACCUCUCUCUACAACUCCCUGACAGGAGGCUGUAGCCAGGUGGGGAUCAGGCUCUGCUCCCAGGGAACAAGGGAGGAUGAGAGGAAACUGCCUGGAGUUGCACCAGGGGAAGUUUACAUUGGAUAUUAGGAGAAAUUUCUGUACUGAAAUGGUUGUGAGGCGUUGGAAUAGGAUGCCUAGGGAAGUGGUGGAAUCCCCAUCCCUGAAGUGUUCAAAAGAGGUGUGGAUGUUGCACCUGGGGACUUGGUUUAGUGGUGGAUGUCAUGGUGCUGUGUUAACAGUUGGACUCAAUGACCUCAGAAGUCUUUUCCAAUCAUAAUUGGAAGAUUGGUCUAAAGAUCCCACAGGGAUCAAGAGCAUGAGCUUCAUGGUAGGAUAUUCCUUCCAUAAUGCAGAAUUUGCAUGUCUAGAUUCCAGCACUGGAAGGAGAUAAAUGUCCCCAAAUCCCAGCACCAUCUGGAUAAAGUGUUAACUCUGAAUGAUUGUGAUGGCUGUGUGAACUAGUUUUGUUUGGAUACUCCAAGUUAUGUUUGCUCUGCAGUCUGCCAGGAGAAACCUUUGGCUUAGUGACCCUUCUCUUUCCCCUGUGUGCAACCCCCUGUGCGGUGCUGGCACGGUGUGUGUGCUGGAGCUGGAGCUGGGAACCAGAUGAAAGUUAGCCCUGAAGAAGAAUACUUUGUUUUGAUCUGGAUUGCUCCCAGGGUUUGAUUGUGGUGUGGACACACAAAGAGGUAUGUCAGCACAACAGAGGGGGCAGCAGGAUCUAGCACAGGGACAGGAAUGCACAGCAGAAGAUGGAGCUGGGAACAGAACAACACAAAGCAAGAAAAUAAGGGAUCGGCACUGGGCCAGAAACAUCAGCCUCUGUGUCCAGCUGCUCUCUGCUCACCCCAUCCCUUGCAGGAGAGAGAAUUGGGAAAGGGGAAGAAGGGGUGAGAGUAGAAACUCACUUUUGGACUUUCCAAAGGACCUUCCACUCUGCUGGUGGAGCAACACCAAGGAAAUAUGGCUGCAGUUUUUGGUGGCAGUGAUUUGAUGGACCAGUCAGGUUAUGCUCCCUCUGUUGUGCUGGUGCAGCUCUUUGUGCUGUUGUGUUGUCAAACAGACCAGGAAACUGCAUAAAAAAAGCAGCACCCUCCCCUCCUCAGUUAUUUUUACCCUGGCUCAGUUCCCAGACACAAUUCACCUUGUCUCCACUGAGGUGCAACUGGAGGAAGAGUGCUGGAGUGGGAAAGUGUAGCCAGAAGCAGUAAAACAGGGCUCUGCCUAAACCCACUGUGCCUCUCAAAAAAAGCCCGUGGCUCAACACCUUGGGGAGAGUUUCCCUUCAGCAGUCACAGCCAGCUUGUUUGCCAGAAUUGGAGAGAUCAAAAAAGAGGAAAGGAAGGUUGAAUCCAUGCAGGCGCGUGCGACAUUUGCAUGCUAUUUUCCUCUGGAAAACAUAAAAGGAAGUCUGACAGUAAUCAUGUUAGAAAUGCUCCCUGUUCCCCUCCCAUUUGGUCUAAGCUCUGUGUAUGACACUGACCCUGGCAUGUAAGACGGCUCCAGCCGAUCUCCAGCACCCUCCAGCACCCGGCUGUUUCUGCUGAAGUCAGUGGAAACACUUUCAUGGUUACAGGUGCCCAUGCCUAAAUGCUCUGUUAGGUCACCAGCUAAUUUUAGGAUGGAGGAGUACAGUUCCAAAAGAGAAAAAUAGGUUAAUAACACUUAAGUCGCAGCAAAUCUGUAGGAAAUCUCCUGGAAUAGGUCCAUAAUUAGCAAAUCUAUACUUCCCAAAGAAGAAAUCCACACCUUUUCUUCAGUUCCUUUUUGCCCUUGAUUUUGCCUGUGGAUUGUGAUGAACUGAAGACUUCUACACUUGAGAUUAGUACCUGAACCUUAUGGCAGCAUUCAGGAGCCAGAACCAUGCACUUACAUCUUUCUAUACAGGAUUGCAUUAGGGAGGUGUUUGCUGUUUUAAAGUGAACAGUGCUGGUGUGAACUCCCAAAUUUUUCAGAGCUAAGGCACUGGAUUCUGCUCAUAGGGAGGCACAUCCCAGGUUAUCCUCCUGAGGACAGGCACCUGCCAUCUGAACUGUGCAGGGCUCAUUUUGCUCCAUUUGUAACGCAGGCAUCCUGCAUGAAUAAAGGUUUCCACCCUGUUUUCCCACCUUCCAAAGUGCACCAGCUUCUCAGUUACAGGUGAGGAGGGUUUGUUACACAAAGAAAUGGAAUUUCAGGUUUCACCCUGAAAAUUAAAAUUCAAAGGUGAUCAUCCCUAACCCUAAUUCCAUUUUAGUGGGGCUUUUUGGAUUGCAGGUUGUCUUAGGUUGCAAUGCAAGAUGUAACCAGGAGUAUGUAUUCUAUCACCAGCUGUUAAAACCAGGUGGGGCAGUUUGCUUUAUCUCUUCCAGGACCCAUUCACCCUGCAGGGAGAUAUCUUCUGUUAAUGGGCCAGUGAGUGUCGCUGAUAAAAUUACAUCAUCCCAUUGGGAGAUGCUCUGCCCAGGGGGAGGAGCCAGGCAUUCCUACCUGGAUAAAAAUUUGAGAUUUGGAACACAGUGGGAGUUUGUUUCCACUGGAUUCCUAGGAAGACCAGGCCCAUCUACACCACCACUGGACCUUCAGAGGAAAACUCCACGCUUCUCCAGGAUCACUGCUCCACCAGUGCUACACCUGUCACUGCACGAGAUCUGCAGCCACCACUGAAUAGAACUGCUACCAACACCCUGACCCACAGGGUGUCAGGUUGUAUUUAACUCAGUAUUUUUUUGUAUUACUGCAUUUUUAUUUUAAUUUUCCUAGUAAAGAAUUGUUAUUCCUAUUCCCAUAUCUUUGCCUGAGAGCCCCUUAAUUUAAAAAUUAUAACAGUUUGGAGGGAGGGGGUUUACAUUUUCCAUUUCAAUGGAGGCUCCUGCCUUCCUUAGCAGACACCUGGCUUUUCAAACCAAGACACAAGUAUUUACUGAGGGUAUUUACCUCUGAUCUAAGUCCUGCUUCAGGAUCCCACUUGAAACCUUGCCUUUGUGGAUCCCACUUGAAACCUCGGAUUCUUGAUUGACUUAGUGGGCUCAGCAGACUGUGUCUUAGAAAUCUGUUGGACUCCUGAUAAGAUCAGGUCAAGCUUUCACAGACUUUCAGGAGCCCAGAAGACCUUGACUCUAAUUUAUCAGUAAAUUCAGGCAAGGUUUUGGAUUCAGAAUCCCCUUAUCUUAA